GAUGAAGAACGUAGCGAAAUGCGAUACUUGGUGUGAAUUGCAGAAUCCCGUGAACCAUCGAGUCUUUGAACGCAAGUUGCGCCCGAAGCCAUCAGGUUGAGGGCACGUCUGCCUGGGCGUCACAUAUCGUUGCUCGAUGCCUAUCGCAUUGCGAUAGGACUUAGGGCGAAUGAUGGCUUCCCGUGAGCGUUGUUGCCUCGCGGUUGGUUGAAAAUCGAGUGCAUGGUGUCGGGUGUACCAUGAUGGAUGGUGGUUGAGUGAUGAUGCUCGAGACCAAUCAUGGGUAACUCCACCAGAAUUGGGCUCGGUGACCCACAUGCGUCCCUUGGAUGCUCCCUAAGGAGACCUCAGGUCAGGCGGGGCUACCCGCUGAGUUUAAGCAUAUCAAUAAGCGGAGGA
rnacentral:misc_RNA from 1 species